AUGGCGGAGGAACCGUCCACCAAGCAUCAUCAUGGCGAGCUGUUGGACAAGAGCAACAACCUCGUCGAUGUUCACGUCCCCAGCGAGAAGCGCGAGUACAUGAGAACCCUCAUAGGGGUUGAGCUCCACCGCAAAGAGACGCUGGAGAUCGUCUGCACCAGCGAACCAGACAAGGCUGAUGAGGUGAUGAGCAGGCUCAGGAUGAAGGGCGGUGGCUUGUAUCUGAGCUUCAUCGGAGUUGAUGUGGAGCCCAAGCGCCUCAGAGACUUCCUGCAGGAGGAGAAAUUGUACACAUUUGUCGGUUUCAGCAUUGGAGGUGACAAGCGGAUGCUGAACAAGUCUGGUUUGGAGAUCAAUCCAAACAACUUCAUUGACAUGCAACGCAAGUGGAAAGAUCCAAAGACCAGCAAAUACUACGACUCCUUGGCCGAUGUUGCAGGCAGCGUAAUCCACCCAUUCCAUAGCAGCAUGAAGAAGAAGAUGGACAAGGGAGACCACAAACUGUGGGGGACCAGCCUGCUACCAGACAACCUCAUCACGUACGCAGGAAUAGAUACAUACGCCACGUACAAGUCAUGGAAGACAAUCGACAACAUCGUGACAGGUUGGGAUAUUUCAAAAGAG
rnacentral:rRNA from 1 species